UACGAGAGGCCCAAACGUUAUUCGGAAUUACUGGGCUUAAAGAGUUCGUAGGCGGCGCAGAAAGUAGGGUGUGAAAGCCCUCGGCUCAACCGAGGAAUUGCGCUCUAAACUACUGUGCUUGAGGAAUCUAGAGGUGAGCGGAACUGAUGGUGGAGCGGUGAAAUGCGUAGAUAUCGGAAGGAACACCGGUGGCGAAGGCGGCACGCUGGGCCCGCCCUGACGCUGAGGCGCGAAAGCCAGGGGAGCGAACGGG
rnacentral:rRNA from 1 species